AAAGUAGUGACUGUACUCUUUAUUGUCCAACUUCCUUCUCUGUUAUCCUUCCAAGUUGAUGCUUGAGCAUCAAGCUGAUUUCACCGUCACAGGCGCUUGGGAAAAAGUGGAUGUGGACUGCAAGGAAUGAUUCUCUCUGUGAAGCAUUUUCAGAUGGCAUUCAGCGCUCAGCAGGAAAGCAGCCAUCCUCAAGCUUCCCUAGAGAGACUCAGCGGCCUCUCACCAGAACCAACCAUGCCAGCGCCCUGAUCUCCAACUUUCCGAAAUCUAGACCUUGAGAAGCCAUGGAGUCUAUACGACCUGCACACACACAGGAAAGACCACACGAGGACGCAGAGAGAACGCAGAGAAAGCAGGGAGAGAGGGGGCUCAGAAGACACCACCCCUGCCCACACCUUGAUCUGGGACAUCCAGCCUCCGGAACUGUGAGAGCCUAAA